rnacentral:rRNA from 1 species
UACGAAGGGGGCUAGCGUUGCUCGGAAUGACUGGGCGUAAAGAGCUCGUAGGCGGCUUAGCAAGUCGGGUGUGAAAACCCCAGGCUCAACCUGGGGACGCCACUCGAUACUGCUGUGGCUAGAGUCCGGUAGGGGACCACGGAAUUCCUGGUGUAGCGGUGAAAUGCGCAGAUAUCAGGAGGAACACCGGUGGCGAAGGCGGUGGUCUGGGCCGGCACUGACGCUGAGGAGCGAAAGCGUGGGGAGCGAACAGG